AGUCUUAACUAUUCUUCAGAUUCAAUUUUCGCAUUCACAUCGCAGAUAGUGUGAUCUGAGCUCUGUAAAAACAAUUAUCAAAUCUUUUUUUCUGCUGCCACUAUCUGAGAAAUAUUGAAUUUUCAUCCGUCAUAGACUCAAUUCUAAUUGCAGAAAAUGGAUUUGUCCACUACCAGAACUGAGCAACUGCUCCACUACUUCAGAAGACAUCAUGGACGACCUUCUUCUACUGUUUCGCCAUGGGAUGUUACCACAACAGAUUUCUAUCCACAUGAUGAAUCAACUAAAAGCAUUUUGAGUGUUAGCUACGAAGGAAAUGUCGAGGAACGUGCUGAAGAACUCGGGCUUCCUGCAUGGGGUCAAUUUGCUAUUUUUAUUGUUGUAGGCAUUGUGAUACUCGGGAUAGGUUUCUUUAUCAUUCGCCGGUAUUUUUGGAAACGACAUAACGCGCAUAGGCAUGGAGAAGUGAAGCCUACGGCGCUACUCGAAUAAAAGAGAAAUUCAGACAUUGGAUUCGGAAUCAAGCAGAUGUAGAGAGUGAUGCCAGUUGAAUUGAAACAUAUAUCAAAUGUAUUUUAUUUGUGAAAUUGGACGAAACGUCCUCGUUUUUGGUUUAAUAAAAUGAGGUACUCUUGUCACGAAUAA